AUUGAACGCUGGCGGCAUGCCUUACACAUGCAAGUCGAACGGCAGCAUGGAAGAGCUUGCUCUUCUGGUGGCGAGUGGCGAACGGGUGAGUAAAGUAUCGGAACGUACCGUGUAGUGGGGGAUAACGUAGCGAAAGUUACGCUAAUACCGCAUACGCACUGAGGUGGAAAGCAGGGGAUCGCAAGACCUUGCGCUAUACGAGCGGCCGUAGUCAGAUUAGCUAGUUGGUAGGGAAAAGGCCUACCAAGGCUACGAUCUGUAGCGGGUCGGAGAGGAUGAUCCGCCACACUGGGACUGAGACACGGCCCAGACUCCUACGGGAGGCAGCAGUGGGGAAUUUUGGACAAUGGGCGAAAGCCUGAUCCAGCCAUGCCGCGUGAGUGAAGAAGGCCUUCGGGUUGUAAAGCUCUUUCGGCUGGGAAGAAAUCGCACAGGCUAAUACUCUGUGUGGAUGACGGUACCAGCACAAGAAGCACCGGCUAACUACGUGCCAGCAGCAGCCGCGGUAA
rnacentral:rRNA from 1 species